CAGUCUGCGUGGAGCCGACCUUGAAAUACCACCCUUUAAUGUUUGAUGUUCUAACGUGGACCCGUGAUCCGGGUUGCGGACAGUGUCUGGUGGGUAGUUUGACUGGGGCGGUCUCCUCCUAAAGAGUAACGGAGGAGCACGAAGGUUGGCUAAUCCUGGUCGGACAUCAGGAGGUUAGUGCAAUGGCAUAAGCCAGCUUGACUGCGAGCGUGACGGCGCGAGCAGGUGCGAAAGCAGGUCAUAGUGAUCCGGUGGUUCUGAAUGGAAGGGCCAUCGCUCAACGGAUAAAAGGUACUCCGGGGAUAACAGGCUGAUACCGCCCAAGAGUUCAUAUCGACGGCGGUGUUUGGCACCUCGAUGUCGGCUCAUCACAUCCUGGGGCUGAAGUAGGUCCCAAGGGUAUGGCUGUUCGCCAUUUAAAGUGGUACGCGAGCUGGGUUUAGAACGUCGUGAGACAGUUCGGUCCCUAUCUGCCGUGGGCGCUGGAGAACUGAGGGGGGCUGCUCCUAGUACGAGAGGACCGGAGUGGACGCAUCACUGGUGUUCGGGUUGUCAUGCCAAUGGCACUGCCCGGUAGCUAAAUGCGGAAGAGAUAAGUGCUGAAAGCAUCUAAGCACGAAACUUGCCCCGAGAUGAGUUCUCCCUGAGACUUUAGGUCUCCUGAAGGAACGUUGAAGACGACGACGUUGAUAGGCCGGGUGUGUAAGCGCAGCGAUGCGUUGAGCUAACCGGUACUAAUGAACCGUGAGGCUUAACCUU
rnacentral:rRNA from 1 species